UACGUAGGUGGCGAGCGUUGUCCGGAUUUACUGGGCGUAAAGAGCGCGCAGGCGGUCGUACAAGUCGCGUGUGAAAGCCCCCGGCUCAACUGGGGAGGGUCACGCGAUACUGUUCGACUCGAAGGCAGGAGAGGGUAGUGGAAUUCCCGGUGUAGCAGUGAAAUGCGUAGAGAUCGGGAGGAACAUCUGUGGCGAAGGCGACUGCCUGGACCAGCACUGACACUGAGGCACGAAAGCGUGGGGAGCAAACAGG
rnacentral:rRNA from 1 species